GAUGAACGCUAGCGGCAGGCCUAAUACAUGCAAGUCGAACGGGAUUAAGAGGCUUGCUUCUUAUGAGAGUGGCGCACGGGUGCGUAACACGUAUGCAACCUACCUUCAACAGGGGGAUAGCCUUCCGAAAGGGAGAUUAAUACCGCACAACAUAAUUGAACGGCAUCGUUUGAUUAUCAAACUCACAAGGGUUGAAGAUGGGCAUGCGUCCGAUUAGUUAGUUGGUGAGGUAACGGCUCACCAAGGCAUCGAUCGGUAGGGGAUCUGAGAGGAUUACCCCCCACACUGGUACUGAGACACGGACCAGACUCCUACGGGAGGCAGCAGUAAGGAUGAUUGGUCAAUGGACGGAAGUCUGAACCGGCCAUGCCGCGUGCAGGAAGACGGUUCUCUGGAUUGUAAACUGCUUUUGUUAGGGAAGAAACCCUCGUAUGCGUACGAGGCUGACGGUACCUAAAGAAUAAGGAUCGGCUAACUCCGUGCCAGCCGCCGCCGUAAUAC
rnacentral:rRNA from 1 species